rnacentral:rRNA from 1 species
GAUGAACGCUAGCGGCAGGCCUAAUACAUGCAAGUCGAGGGGUAUGGGUUGCUUGCAACCCAGAGACCGGCGCACGGGUGCGUAACGCGUAUGCAAUCUACCUUAAUCAGGGGGAUAGCCCGGAGAAAUCCGGAUUAACACCGCAUAACAUUGAGUUGUGGCAUCACAGUUCAAUCAAAUAUUUAUAGGAUUAAGAUGAGCAUGCGUGACAUUAGUUAGUUGGUGAGGUAACGGCUCACCAAGACCACGAUGUCUAGGGGAUCUGAGAGGAUGACCCCCCACACUGGUACUGAGACACGGACCAGACUCCUACGGGAGGCAGCAGUAAGGAAUAUUGGUCAAUGGGCGCAAGCCUGAACCAGCCAUGCCGCGUGCAGGAAGACGGCCCUAUGGGUUGUAAACUGCUUUUGUACCGGAAUAAACCUUCUCUUGCGAGAGAAGCUGAACGUACGGUAAGAAUAAGGAUCGGCUAACUCCGUG